CCCCCCCCCACCCCCGCUUCAGGCGAGCAGGCAAACAGCUCCCCACAGGGAACAAAGUUUGAGAACGGGGAAAAGCGUAGAAACCCAGUGUGAACGCAGUUUGAGUCUGCCUGCAGCCUGGUUCCUGGAAGAGCCUGUGUCUGUAGAUUCUGAGAGGGUAGGGAUGAGAGGGUGUGGUUCUGACCUGGAGCCUUGAAAGUUGAGUUCCGGUUGGGUUGAGGUGGCGUGUCUUAGAUACCCCCGUGUGCACAGAGGGGCCGUUUGAGUAUGCACUUACCAUGUCCUUAGAGCUUUCCUCUAUUUUUUGAUCCAGUGCCACCAAUAUAAUGACCUGAAAGGG
rnacentral:lncRNA from 1 species